rnacentral:misc_RNA from 1 species
AACGCACAUUGCGCCCCUUGGCAUUCCGAGGGGCAUGCCUGUUCGAGCGUCAUUAUCACCAUUCAAGCACUGCUUGGUGUUGGACCACGUCGGCCUUUCUGGACGGCGGGCCCUAAAUUCAACGGCCGCCCUUGUUAGAUUUCGAGCGUAGUAACAUAACACUCGUUGGGAUAUCUUCCAAGGUGGCGUGCCCAUACCUUUCUUCAGGUUGACCUCGAAUCAGGUAGGAAUACCCGCUGAACUUAA